CAUGGAGAUAGGCCACCGUCAUCGCCUCUCCGUGGCAUACCAUCAUCGCCGGUCGGGGCUCAUGUAGAGGAACUCCACCUCCUCUACAGUUGUAACGUCUCCCUGUGCGACGUAGUGCGCAGGUCUAUCCACGAGUUCCACGCUACGACGAGGGAUGCCAGCCUGCCAGGCGUUCGUUGGUUUAGAAGAGGGGUAAUGCCACGAUAUUUCACAGUCUAUCCCUGCCCUCAGCACACCUGAAGUGGCCACUGAACGAUGCCCAUCAACUGCGGUGCAGCCCAGAAACGCGAGCAGCGCCGACGCCAUUGACAAACACCCAACGUCGUGGCGAAUGCCUGACACCAGUAGUGGUGGAAAUCGGAAAUGUGGACACCAGCAGGACAAUGACGGAUAUAUCCUUCCCUCUGGUAACACCAGGACCUAAAAUUUUCUUCGGGUCUACCGGCAAGCGCGUUUAUGGAGAGGAAGAAAACGAAGUUUUAACUCUAGAGCCGGACCUUUAAUUUUGUUCCUGACCGUUAAACGACUGUGGUGCACGGCCGACUUUGGUCAGCUCCUGGGCCUUCGACAGGCCAUGUUUGCAAAAGACGACAGCAGUGCCAAAUGAUUUAUGAGUAGCAAGCUGAAUAAUUUUGUAUCAAAAAUUGACUACAUAUGUAA